rnacentral:rRNA from 1 species
GACGAACGCUGGCGGCGUGCUUAACACAUGCAAGUCGAACGGAAAGGCCCUGCGUUUGUGGGGUGCUCGAUUGGCGAACGGGUGAGUAACACGUGUGUAACCUGCCCUUGUCUUUGGGAUAACUUUAGGGAAAUGGGGCUAAUAUCGGAUAUGAUCUCCUGCUGCAUGGUGGGGGUUGGAAAGAUUCGGCGGUUGGGGAUGGACUCGCGGCUUAUCAGCUUGUUUGUGGGGUUGGGGCUUUCCAAGGCUUUGACGGGUAGCCGGCCUGGGAGGGUGAACGGCCACAUUGGGCCUGAGAUACGGCCCAGACUCCUACGGGAGGCAGCAGUGGAGAAUCUUGCACAAUGGGCGGAAGCCUGAUGCAGCAACGCCGCGUGCGGGAUGACGGCCUUCGGGUUGUAAACCGCUUUCGCAUGUGACGAAGCGUGAGUGACGGUAAUGGGUAAAGAAGCACCGGCUAACUACGUG